rnacentral:rRNA from 1 species
CCUACGGGCGGCUGCAGUGAGGAAUAUUGGUCAAUGGACGAGAGUCUGAACCAGCCAAGUAGCGUGAAGGAUGACUGCCCUAUGGGUUGUAAACUUCUUUUAUAUGGGAAUAAAAUGUUCCACGUGUGGGAGUUUGUAUGUACCAUAUGAAUAAGGAUCGGCUAACUCCGUGCCAGCAGCCGCGGUAAUACGGAGGAUCCGAGCGUUAUCCGGAUUUAUUGGGGUAAAGGGAGCGGAGGUGGAUUGUUAAGUCAGGUGUGAAAGUUUGCGGUUCAACCGUAAGAUUGCAGUUGAAACUGUCAGACUUGAGUACAGUAGAGGUGAGCGGAAUUCGUGGUGUAGCGGUGAAAUGCUUAGAUAUCACGAAGAACUCCGAUUGCGAAGGCAGCUCACUGGACUGUAACUGACGCUGAGGCUCGAAAGUGUGGGGAGCAAACAGGAUUAGAUACCCCUGUAGUC